CCUACGGGGGGCAGCAGUGAGGAAUAUUGGUCAAUGGCCGGAAGGCUGAACCAGCCAUGCCGCGUGAAGGUCAGUGCCCUAUGGGCGUUAAACUUCUUUUGUGCGGGAGCAAUAAUGGUCACGUGUGGCCAGACGAGAGUACCGUACGAAUAAGCAUCGGCUAACACCGUGCCAGCAGCCGCGGUAAUACGGGGGAUGCAAGCGUUAUCCGGAUUUAUUGGGUGUAAAGGGUGCGUAGGCUGUGAGGUAAGUCAGCGGUGAAAUGCCCCCGCGCAACGGGGUGAAGUGCCAUUGAUACUGGCUGGCUGGAAUGCGGAUGACGUGGGAGGAAUGUGUGGUGUAGCGGUGAAAUGCAUAGAUAUCACACAGAACACCGAUUGCGAAGGCAUCUCACGAAUCCGCGAUUGACGCUGAUGCACGAAAGCGUGGGUAUCAAACAGGAUUAGAUACCCGGGUAGUC
rnacentral:rRNA from 1 species